CAAGUUUGAACUCAUAGGCUAGAUAAGAAUGGCUCUGUCUUCUCUCCUCAUCCAGAAGAUGUGACAGAAGCACUGGUGAGGCCACACCUCACCACUGGUGAGGUUGCACCUUCGGGGCUGUGUCCAGUUCUGGGCCCUCACUACCAGAAUGACACUGAGGUGCUGGAGCAUGACCAGAGAAGGGCAAUGAAGCUGGCAAAGGGCCUAGAGAGAAUUUGCUUUAGGUUUUAAAUUCCCUUUAUAGAGAGAAACUGCAGUCCUGUUCCUGACGCUUUUGAGUAUCCAAACACCUCUCUCCUUGCAUUUUGGUCAUUGGUUGUGCUCCUCGGAGGCCAUUUCAUCAUGUUGCAAGGGGCAGCGCGGGAGUCUGUGGUACAGAUGUCUGCCUAACAGCUGGUUGCCAUGUCCUACAAACACUUUUCCUGCUGAAAGCAUGUUGGAAGGCAUUUUAAGGGCAGUGCUGGUUAGGAAGAGUCAGCCCAACAGGCAGCUUGGAAAGAUGACUGGAGUCCUGAACGCAGAAUAAUUCCCAAAGGAUCCUUUUCUGUUUCACAUGAAUUAGUAUUCUUCAGAAUGUCAUUGUGCUUUACACCAAAUAAGAGUAUCUUAUGUG